rnacentral:rRNA from 1 species
AGAUGGCGACCGGCGCACGGGUGAGUAACACGUAUCCAACCUGCCGAUAACUCGGGGAUAGCCUUUCGAAAGAAAGAUUAAUACCCGAUGGUAUAAUCAGACCGCAUGGUUUGAUUACUAAAGAAUUUCGGUUAUCGAUGGGGAUGCGUUCCAUUAGGCAGUUGGUGAGGUAACGGCUCACCAAACCUUCGAUGGAUAGGGGUUCUGAGAGGAAGGUCCCCCACAUUGGAACUGAGACACGGUCCAA